ACGCACGCUGGCGGCGUGCUUAACACAUGCCAGUCGAACGGUGAAGCGCCUUCCUUUUUGGUGGGUGUGGAUGAGUGGCGAACGGGUGAGUAACACGUGAGUAACCUGCCCCCUUCUUCUGGAUAACCGCAUGAAAGUGUGGCUAAUACGGGAUAUUCUGGGUCUGUCGCAUGAUGGGUCUGGGAAAGAUAUUGUUUCGGUGGGGGAUGGGCUCGCGGCCUAUCAGCUUGUUGGUGGGGUGAUGGCCUACCAAGGCGGUGACGGGUAGCCGGCCUGAGAGGGUGGACGGUCACACUGGGACGGAGGCACGGCCAAGACUCCUACGGGAGGCAGCAGUGGGGAAUAUUGCACAAUGGGCGCAAGCCUGAUGCAGCGACGCCGCGUGAGGGAUGGAGGCCUUCGGGUUGUGAACCUCUUUCGCCAGUGAAGCAGGCCUGCCUCGUUUGUGGGUGGGUUGACGGUAGCUUGAUAAGAAGCGCCGGCUAACUACGUG
rnacentral:rRNA from 1 species